AGUAAUUUUGUGUUAAUGAAUGGAAACUUGAAUCAAACAGUUUGAAGACAAACUAUAAAAAUUCACUGGAGGGAGGGGGUGCGCUUGGCUGGCUCAGUUGGCAGAGUGUGUGGAUCCUGAUCUCAGGGUUGUGGGUUUGAGCCCCACUUUGGGUGUGGAGAGUGCUUAAAAAUAAAAUCUUUAGGAAAAAAAACCCACUGGGAACGAAAGAAGAAAAUAGAUAAAACAGAAUGGAAGAAAUGAUAAAUACAGAGGAUAAAUAUCCAAAGUUAGUAAGGCACUAUGUCUCUACUGCAGAUUACAGAGGACCACAAAUUCUUUGUCAUUCUUUCCAUUAAGAAAAGGUCUCUAUUUCUUUCCAUCAAGAAAUGGACUCUAUUUCUCCCCUUGAUUCUAAGCUGAUCUUGUGACUUGUUUGAGACCAAUAAAAUGUGAAUAAAGCAAAUGCUGUGCCAGCUCUGGAAUUAGCCUUUGGGAGGCCGGUGUCUCCCACCCUCAGAAGGCAGCCAUACACUCUCAAGAGUGCAGGGCACUCUGUGGGAAAAGGGUGAUGUGGGGGAGAACUAAGCCCCAGCCAACACUGAACCAAGGACCCAAAUUUGGGGGAAAGGCUUUCUUGGAUCUCCCAGUUUAGCCUUCAAAUGCAGCCACAGGAGUGAUUCUGAGUGAGAUCACUAGAAGAACUUCCAAAUCAAACCAUAAAAUCAUGAAAAAUAAUAAACCAUUGAUGGUUUAAGCCACUAAGUGCUGGGUGGUCUGUUCCACAACAGCAGAUAACUGAUGUCACAAAACAGAUCUAAAACAACACGAUACUGCCAAAAUAUAUGGACAAAGCUGGACCCCGCAGCAAAAGACACCUGUAUCCUAAGUCCUUGCUAGAAAAUAUUCUUAGACUGUCUGAAAACCCAGCUUGUUUCAAAAGCCUGGUUGAAAGUAAUAGCCUUUCUAUGUCUGAAAUUACUUUCUAUUAUUUACUUACUCGAAAAAAUAUUCUAAAUUCUAUCCCAGGAUUAAGUCAGGCAUGGAAAUUUUAGUAUCACAUUUUCGUAUUUUACAAUUUUGUAUCUACUUUAAGAUGCUUUAAGAAAAUUCCACCCAUGGGCGCCUGGGUGGCUCAGUCGGUUAAGCGUCCGACUUCAGCUCAGGUC